rnacentral:rRNA from 1 species
CGCCUCUUGAUAAGAGGUCCAGCCUGCCCAGUGACGUUCAACGGCCGCAGUAUCUUAACCGCGCGAAGGUAGCGUAAUCACUUGUUUUCUAAAUAAAGACUAGUAUGAAAGGCACCACGAGUAUUAAACUGUCUCCUUUUUCCAAUCAGUGAACCUAAUCUCUCCGUGAAGAAGCGGAGAUUUUAACAUAAGACGAGAAGACCCUGUGGAGCUUAAAACACCUUUAUCACCUGCACUUUGACUAAAUGUUUUUGGUUGGGGUGACCGCGGAGAAAAACCCAACCUCCGUAAUGAGUAACUAUAAGCUACAGCUUUAAAUAUCAAAAAAUUGACACCAUCGACCCAAUUAUUGAUCAAUGAACCAAGUUACCCCAGGGAUAACAGCACAAUCCACUUUAAGAGCCCCUAUCGACAAGUGGGCUUAUGACCUCGAUGUUGGAUCGGGGUAUCCUAGUGGUGCAGCCGCUACUAAGGGUUCGUUUGUUCAACGAUUAAAACCCC